rnacentral:rRNA from 1 species
CCUACGGGUGGCAGCAGUGGGGAAUCUUUCACAAUGGGGGAAAGCCUGAUGCAGCGACGCCGCGUGAAGGAUGAAGGAUUUCGGUAUGUAAACUUCUAUCAGCAGGGAAGAAAAUGACGGUACCUGACUAAGAAGCCCCGGCUAACUACGUGCCAGCAGCCGCGGUCAUACGUAGGGGGCAAGCGUUAUCCGGAUGUACUGGGUGUAAAGUGAGCGUAGGGGUAUUAGCAAGUCAGAAGUGAAAGUCCGGGGCUCAACUCUGGGACUGCUGUUGAAAAUGUUGAAAUAGAGUGCAUUAGAGGUAAGUGGAAUUCCUAGUGUAGCGGUGAAAUGCGUAGAUAGUAGGAGGAACACCAGUGGCGAAGGCAGCUUACUGGACCGUAAAUGACGCUGAGGCUCGAAAGCGUGGGGAGCAAACAGGAUUAGAUACCCUGGUAGUA